rnacentral:SRP_RNA from 1 species
GCCGGGUGCAGUGGCACAUGCCUGUAGUCCCACCUACUUGGGAGGCUGAGGUGGGAGGAUUUCCCGAGUCCAGGAGUUCUGGGCUGUAGUGUUUUGCUGAUUGGGUGUCCGAACUAAGUUCAGCAUCACUAUGGUGACCUCCAGGAGUGAGGGACCACCAGGUUGCCUAAGGAGGGGUGAACCAGUUCAGACUGGAAAUGGAGCAGGUCAAAACUCCUGUGCUGGUCAGUAGUGGGAUCGUACCUGUGAAUAGCCACUGCACUCCAGCCUGGGCAACAUAGCAAGAUCCGGUCUCU